rnacentral:rRNA from 1 species
CACUCCUGCGGGAGGCAGCAGUGGGGAAUAUUGGACAAUGGGCGCAAGCCUGAUCCAGCCAUGCCGCGUGAGUGAUGAAGGCCCUAGGGUUGUAAAGCUCUUUCACCGGUGAAGAUAAUGACGGUAACCGGAGAAGAAGCCCCGGCUAACUUCGUGCCAGCAGCCGCGGUAAUACGAAGGGGGCUAGCGUUGUUCGGAUUUACUGGGCGUAAAGCGCACGUAGGCGGACUAUUAAGUCAGGGGUGAAAUCCCGGGGCUCAACCCCGGAACUGCCUUUGAUACUGGUAGUCUUGAGUUCGAGAGAGGUGAGUGGAAUUCCGAGUGUAGAGGUGAAAUUCGUAGAUAUUCGGAGGAACACCAGUGGCGAAGGCGGCUCACUAGCUCGAUACUGACGCUGAGGUGCGAAAGCGUGGGGAGCAAACAGGAUUAGAUACCCUUGUAGUCCC